ACUCCUACGGGAGGCAGCAGUGGGGAAUAUUGCACAAUGGGCGCAAGCCUGAUGCAGCCAUGCCGCGUGUAUGAAGAAGGCCUUCGGGUUGUAAAGUACUUUCAGCAGUGAGGAAGGCAGGUACGUUAAUAGCGGCCUCGUUUGACGUUAGCUGCAGAAGAAGCACCGGCUAACUCCGUGCCAGCAGCCGCGGUAAUACGGAGGGUGCGAGCGUUAAUCGGAAUUACUGGGCGUAAAGCGCAUGCAGGUGGUUUGUUAAGUCAGAUGUGAAAGCCCGGGGCUCAACCUCGGAAUUGCAUUUGAAACUGGCAGACUAGAGUACUGUAGAGGGGGGUAGAAUUUCAGGUGUAGCGGUGAAAUGCGUAGAGAUCUGAAGGAAUACCGGUGGCGAAGGCGGCCCCCUGGACAGAUACUGACACUCAGAUGCGAAAGCGUGGGGAGCAAACAGGAUUAGAUA
rnacentral:rRNA from 1 species